GGGGUGUUGUGGAGAACACCAAUGUGCCAUUUUUUUAUUUUAGUUAAAGUAUAAUAUUCUAUCUCUUUACAUACUUGAAUUUGCUUUGAUCAUAUUUGGUAAGGUGAUCCUAGGAUUUUGGAUUUGGCUCGAUAGUUUUAUUUGAUAAAGCUAUUGAUUUGAGUAUUUUAAAAAAAUUUUAAAAUUACUUUCUGAUUGUAUGAUCGAAAUUCAACAGUGGUAUCAGAGCC
rnacentral:lncRNA from 1 species